CAGCAGCCGCGGUAAUACGUAGGUCCCGAGCGUUGUCCGGAGUUAUUGGGCGUAAAGGGAGCGCAGGCGGACAUAUAAGUCCAUCUUAAAAGUGCGGGGCUCAACCCCGUGAGGGGAUGGAAACUGUAUGCCUUGAGUGCAGGAGAGGAAAGCGGAACUCCCAGUGUAGCGGUGAAAUGCGUAGAUAUUGGGAAGAACACCAGUGUCGAAGGCGGCUUUCUGGACGGCAACUGACACUGAGGCUCGAAAGCCAGGGGAGCGAACGGGAUUAGAUACCCCCGUAGUCCCUGUCUCUUAUACA
rnacentral:rRNA from 1 species